rnacentral:rRNA from 1 species
GACGAACGCUGGCGGCGUGCUUAACACAUGCAAGUCGAGCGGUAAGGCCUCUUCGGGGGUACACGAGCGGCGAACGGGUGAGUAACACGUGGGUGACCUGCCCUCAGCUCUGGGAUAAGCCUGGGAAACUGGGUCUAAUACCGGAUAUGACCUUUCCUCGCAUGGGGUUUGGUGGAAAGUUUUUUCGGCUGGGGAUGGGCCCGCGGCCUAUCAGCUUGUUGGUGGGGUGAUGGCCUACCAAGGCGACGACGGGUAGCCGGCCUGAGAGGGCGACCGGCCACACUGGGACUGAGACACGGCCCAGACUCCUACGGGAGGCAGCAGUGGGGAAUAUUGCGCAAUGGGCGGAAGCCUGACGCAGCGACGCCGCGUGGGGGAUGACGGCCUUCGGGUUGUAAACCUCUUUCGACCCCGACGAAUUUGGACGGUAGGGGUAGAAGAAGCACCGGCUAACUACGUG